CCCGCACAAGCGGUGGAGCAUGUGGUUUAAUUCGACGCAACGCGAAGAACCUUACCUGGUCUUGACAUCCCGGGAAUCUUUAGGAGACUAGAGAGUGCCUCGCAAGAGGAGCCCGGUGACAGGUGCUGCAUGGCUGUCGUCAGCUCGUGUCGUGAGAUGUUGGGUUAAGUCCCGCAACGAGCGCAACCCUUGUCUUUAGUUGCCAGCAUUAAGUUGGGCACUCUAAAGAGACUGCCGGUGUCAAACCGGAGGAAGGUGGGGAUGACGUCAAGUCCUCAUGGCCUUUAUGACCAGGGCUACACACGUACUACAAUGGCAUAUACAAAGGGCGGCGACAUCGCGAGGUGAAGCGAAUCCCAAAAAUAUGUCUCAGUCCGGAUUGGAGUCUGCAACUCGACUCCAUGAAGUUGGAAUCGCUAGUAAUCGCGGAUCAGCACGCCGCGGUGAAUACGUUCCCGGGCCUU
rnacentral:rRNA from 1 species